CAAGAAGUGACUUCUCAUAAACUAUGUUGGAGAGGGGAGUCUGGGAACUGUAGUCCCACAAAGGCAGCUUCCCUGCCUGGAAAGGUGCCAGGAGGCGGGCAAAAGUCAGUGGUCAGUCCUGCCCCCUCUCUCUCUCUGUCUCUUUCUCUCUCCUUCUUUCUCUCUCUUUCCCUCUUUCUCUCUGGCCAUGGAUCCCCCAAAGGAGCCUCAGCCCAAGCCGGAAUCCACCGGAUCAGAGAUCAUCGACCUCUCUUUGGGUUUCUGGCCCAUUUAGAUGACAUUAUAAAGCGGAACAAGAAAGGCCAGGGCAACCCAAAAGGGAACCGAUGGAGGCAGCCGCUCAAGAACAGGACUCCAUCCUACAGCAACGGGAGACCCAGAUUCCGGCGCUGGAUCCCGGGAAAUCUGCAAGGUAUGGAAAGUUGGUCCGGGCGUGGAAAGAAUUCAACCAAUUACCGUAUAUACUCGAAUAUAAGCCAACCUGAAUAUAAGCUGAGGCAUCUAAUUUUACCACCAAAAAAACUGGGAAAUCAUUGACUCAAGUAUAAGCCGAGAAUGGGAAAUUUCAGAAAUAAAAAUAGAUACCAAAAUUACAUUAAUUGAGGCAUCAGUAGGUUAAAUGUUUUUGAAUGCUUACAUCAAGCUCAAAUUUAAGAUAACUGUCU
rnacentral:lncRNA from 11 species